GACGAACGCUGGCGGCGUGCUUAACACAUGCAAGUCGAACGGAAAGGCCCUGCUUUUGUGGGGUGCUCCAGUGGCGAACGGGUGAGUAACACGUGAGUAACCUGCCCUUGACUUUGGGAUAACUUCAGGAAACUGGGGCUAAUACCGGAUAGGAGCUCCUGCUGCAUGGUGGGGGUUGGAAAGUUUCGGCGGUUGGGGAUGGACUCGCGGCUUAUCAGCUUGUUGGUGGGGUAGUGGCUUACCAAGGCUUUGACGGGUAGCCGGCCUGAGAGGGUGACCGGCCACAUUGGGACUGAGAUACGGCCCAGACUCCUACGGGAGGCAGCAGUGGGGAAUAUUGCACAAUGGGCGGAAGCCUGAUGCAGCAACGCCGCGUGCGGGAUGACGGCCUUCGGGUUGUAAACCGCUUUCGCCUGUGACGAAGCGUGAGUGACGGUAAUGGGUAAAGAAGCACCGGCUGACUACGUG
rnacentral:rRNA from 1 species